UACGGAGGGUGCAAGCGUUAAUCGGAAUUACUGGGCGUAAAGCGCGCGUAGGCGGUUCGGUAAGUCGGGUGUGAAAGCCCCGGGCUCAACCUGGGAAUUGCAUUCGAUACUGCUGGACUAGAGUCUGGUAGAGGGUGGCGGAACUCCCGGUGUAGCGGUGAAAUGCGUAGAUAUCGGGAAGAACACCAGUGGCGAAGGCGGUCACCCGGACCAAGACUGACGCUGAGGUGCGAAAGCGUGGGGAGCAAACAGG
rnacentral:misc_RNA from 1 species